CAUCGCCUCUUGCUAAACCAAAUAAGUAUAAGAGGUCCCGCCUGCCCUGUGACUAUAUGUUUAACGGCCGCGGUAUUUUGACCGUGCGAAGGUAGCGCAAUCACUUGUCUUUUAAAUGGGGACCUGUAUGAAUGGCAUAACGAGGGCUUGACUGUCUCCUCUUUCAAGUCAAUGAAAUUGAUCUCCCCGUGCAGAAGCGGGGAUAAGCACAUAAGACGAGAAGACCCUAUGGAGCUUUAGACACUAAAGCAGAUCAGCAUAAAAUACCCCUAACAACAGGGCACAAAUCAACUGAACUCUGCCCUAAUGUCUUUGGUUGGGGCGACCGCGGAGAAAUAAAAAACCCCCGCAAGGACCGAAUGUACUACAUUCACGACCAAGAGCGACAGCUCUAAUUAACAGAAUUUCUGACCAAUAAGAUCCGGCAACGCCGAUCAAUGAACCAAGUUACCCUAGGGAUAACAGCGCAAUCUCCUCUUAGAGUCCAUAUCGACGAGGGGGUUUACGACCUCGAUGUUGGAUCAGGACAUCCUAAUGGUGCAGCCGCUAUUAAGGGUUCGUUUGUUCAACGAUUAAAGUCCUACGUGAUCUGAGUUCAGAACCGG
rnacentral:rRNA from 1 species